rnacentral:lncRNA from 1 species
AAUAAACCAAGCUCAUCUAGAAAUGUGAAGAUAAAGUUUCCUCCGCCAGAAGAAAACAAAAAGCCAAGUGCUUAUGAUUUGUUCUUACAAAUAAAAAGAGAAAAAGAAGCGAAAAAGAGAAGGGCAACAAAACAAAAAGAAAAAGCCCUGGGUAAAAGACUAGUAGUAAAGGAAGAAAGCUUUCCUUCAGAUGAAGAAAAAGCCCUCCUUCAUCUCCGCCC